GACGAACGCUGGCGGCGUGCUUAACACAUGCAAGUCGAACGGAAAGGCCCUGCUUUUGUGGGGUGCUCGAUUGGCGAACGGGUGAGUAACACGUGAGUAACCUGCCCUUGACUUUGGGAUAACUUCUGGAAACUGGGGCUAAAACCCGAUAGAAGCUCCUGCUGCAUGGUGGGGAUUGGAAAGUUUCGGCGGUUGGGGAUGGACUCGCUGGUUAUCAGCUUGUUGGUGGGGUAGUGGCUUACCAAGGCUUUGACGGGUAGCCGGCCUGAGAGGGUGACCGGCCACAUUGGGACUGAGAUACGGCGCAGAAUCCUACGGGAGGCAGCAGUGGGGAAUAUUGCACAAUGGGCGGAAGCCUGAUGCAGCAACGCCGCGUGCGGGAUGACGGCCUUCGGGUUGUAAACCGCUUUCGCCUGUGACGAAGAGUGAGUGACGGUAAUGGGUAAAGAAGCACCGGCUAACUACGUG
rnacentral:rRNA from 1 species